CCUACGGGAGGCAGCAGUGAGGAAUAUUGGACAAUGGGCGCAAGCCUGAUCCAGCCAUGCCGCGUGCAGGAUGACGGUCCUAUGGAUUGUAAACUGCUUUUGCACAGGAAGAAACAACUCUACGUGUAGAGUCUUGACGGUACUGUGAGAAUAAGGAUCGGCUAACUCCGUGCCAGCAGCCGCGGUAAUACGGAGGAUCCAAGCGUUAUCCGGAAUCAUUGGGUUUAAAGGGUCCGUAGGCGGUUUAGUAAGUCAGUGGUGAAAGCCCAUCGCUCAACGGUGGAACGGCCAUUGAUACUGCUGGACUUGAAUUAUUAGGAAGUAACUAGAAUAUGUAGUGUAGCGGUGAAAUGCUUAGAGAUUACAUGGAAUACCAAUUGCGAAGGCAGGUUACUACUAAUUGAUUGACGCUGAUGGACGAAAGCGUGGGUAGCGAACAGGAUUAGAUACCCUGGUAGUCCACGCCGUAAACGAUGGAUACUAGCUGUUGGGAGCGAUCUCAGUGGCUAAGCGAAAGUGAUAAGUAUCCCACCUGGGGAGUACGUUCGCAAGAAUGAAACUNAAAGGAAUUGACGG
rnacentral:rRNA from 1 species